AUUGAACGCUGGCGGCAUGCUUUACACAUGCAAGUCGAACGGUAACAGGUUAAGCUGACGAGUGGCGAACGGGUGAGUAAUGCAUCGGAACGUGCCCAGUCGUGGGGGAUAACGCACCGAAAGGUGUGCUAAUACCGCAUAUGAUCUUCGGAUUAAAGAAUUUAUUCGCUUUGGGAGCGGCCUGCGUCCUAUUAGAUAGUUGGUGAGGUAAAGGCUCACCAAGUCAACGAUGGGUAGCUGGUCUGAGAGGAUGACCAGCCAGACUGGAACUGAGACACGGUCCAGACUCCUACGGGAGGCAGCAGUAAGGAAUCUUCCACAAUGGGGGCAACCCUGAUGGAGCAACGCCGCGUGCAGGAUGAAGGCCCUCGGGUCGUAAACUGCUUUUAUGAGUGAAGAAUAUGACGGUAACUCAUGAAUAAGGGUCGGCUAACUACGUG
rnacentral:rRNA from 1 species